rnacentral:rRNA from 1 species
UACGUAGGGUGCGCGCGUUGUCCGGAAUUAUUGGGCGUAAAGAGCUUGUAGGCGGUCUGUCGCGUCUGCUGUGAAAAUCCGGGGCUCAACCCCGGACUUGCAGUGGGUACGGGCAGACUAGAGUGUGGUAGGGGAGACUGGAAUUCCUGGUGUAGCGGUGAAAUGCGCAGAUAUCAGGAGGAACACCAAUGGCGAAGGCAGCACUCUGGGACGUGACUGACGCUGAGACGCGAAAGCGUGGGGAGCAAACAGG